UGUCUAAGUACAAACUAUAUUAAAGUGAAACCGCGAAAGGCUCAUUAAAUCAGUUAUGGUUCCUUAGAUCGUACCACAAUUACUUGGAUAACUGUGGUAAUUCUAGAGCUAAUACAUGCAAACAGAGCUCUAACCGGAGACGGAAGGAGUGCUUUUAUUAGAUCAAAACCAAUCGGCGUCGAUAAUAUUUCGGUGUUAUCGUUCGUCGCUUAAAUUAUAUGGUGAAUCUGAAUAACUUUAUGCUGAUCGCAUGGUCUUGUACCGGCGACGCAUCUUUCAAAUGUCUGCCUUAUCAACUGUCGAUGGUAGGAUCUGCGCCUACCAUGGUUGUAACGGGUAACGGGGAAUCAGGGUUCGAUUCCGGAGAGGGAGCCUGAGAAACGGCUACCACAUCCAAGGAAGGCAGCAGGCGCGCAAAUUACCCACUCCCGGCACGGGGAGGUAGUGACGAAAAAUAACGAUACGGGACUCAUCCGAGGCCCCGUAAUCGGAAUGAGUACACUUUAAAUCCUUUAACGAGGACCAAUUGGAGGGCAAGUCUGGUGCCAGCAGCCGCGGUAAUUCCAGCUCCAAUAGCGUAUAUUAAAGUUGUUGCGGUUAAAAAGCUCGUAGUUGAAUUUGUGUCCCGCACUGUCGGUUCACCGCCCGCGGUGUUAACUGGCAUGUUUUUGUGGGACGUCCUGCCGGUGGAUGUAAGUAAUUUUAAAUAUAUAUGUGUAAGGGGGGAUUUAGAAUUAAAAAUUUUUAUCAUCCUUUUAAUCGGGGAUGGUAUGGUUUUUUUCUUUAUCUUUCUUUCUUACUCCUCUAUAUAUUUUUUAUAUUACACAUCCGACUUUUUUUUUAAAUAUAAAUCCUGUCGCGGUGCUCUUAAUUGAGUGUCGAGGCGGGCCGGCACGUUUACUUUGAACAAAUUAAAGUGCUCAAAGCAGGCUUAUAUAUGCCUGAAUAAUUAGUGCAUGGAAUAAUGGAACAGGACCUUGGUUCUAUUUUGUUGGUUUUCGGAACCCCAAGGUAAUGAUUAAUAGGGACAGAUGGGGGCAUUCGUAUUGCGACGUUAGAGGUGAAAUUCUUGGAUCGUCGCAAGACGGACUAAAGCGAAAGCAUUUGCCAAAGAUGUUUUCAUUAAUCAAGAACGAAAGUCAGAGGUUCGAAGGCGAUCAGAUACCGCCCUAGUUCUGACCAUAAACGAUGCCAGCUAGCGAUCCGCCAAAGUUCCUCCGAUGACUUGGCGGGCAGCUUCCGGGAAACCAAAGCUUUUGGGUUCCGGGGGAAGUAUGGUUGCAAAGCUGAAACUUAAAGGAAUUGACGGAAGGGCACCACCAGGAGUGGAGCCUGCGGCUUAAUUUGACUCAACACGGGAAACCUCACCAGGCCCAGACACUGGAAGGAUUGACAGAUUGAGAGCUCUUUCUUGAUUCAGUGGGUGGUGGU
rnacentral:rRNA from 1 species